GAUCCAAUUUUCUCUCUAACCUUCACCAGAAUCGAAGAAAAAAUUGUUCGCCGGAUCCUUUUAUCACCGGAAAACUCUGUUCCUCGUCUCCUAGUUUUUCUGAUCAACAGGUGAAGUUCGCUGGAUCGAUUCUCAGAUCCGAAUCGAACAAACAGAGAGAGAGAGGAAGAGUCUAUAGAGAGAGAAUCAGAGAGUGAGAGGGAAGAAAACAGAGAAGGGGUAGCGAUGUCGGCAGCGGCGGCGGGUCUCGACGGCGAACGGUAGGCGACGACAAGUGGUGAAAGUGGAAGUGGUUAUGUUUGGUUGGUUCGUAUACAUAUUCUGUUUUGGUUCGAUUCGGGCAACCCCAAUCAUCUCAGAUUUAGUUCGGGUGUGAUUCGGGUCCGGCGUGAUUUUCGGAGGCAACCUACACCCAUUCACCUCAUGAGUCCCCGGUUAGUAUAUGUCCAUCGAUUUGUCUUGCAAUCUUGUAAUUUUUGGUUAGUUGUUUUGUACACGGUGCGGAUUGUAUUAUCUAGUCCUAUGCUUUCAUUUUGGCUGGUCUUGUUUUUAGUCUGAUAGUUGUUGUUUGUUUUUAGAAUACAUUGGAUUGACUCAGGUAGUUGUAAAUGGUUUGGUGUAUAUGAGAAUUGAAGGAAUGUGCAGCUUCAAGGAUUCGGGUUCGCGACAGGAGGAUGGGUUUUAGUGGCACAGCUUCGAUUCGGAUUCCGAUUUGUUUGGUUUGUUUCGGCUUGUGCGGUUCAGUCUCUGUUCAGUUCAGAUCUAGGGGUUUGCGAGUGGAAAUGGUGACGCCACUUGAGGGGUUUCUGACUGACGAACAGAGGGAGGUGUUGAAAACGGUAACUGGGAGCUGGUAGGUUUUGUCGUCGUCGCCCAAGUCACCGUUGUGGUUGAUUUCUGAACAUGAAAUUCAGGAGACGUCGUAAACGAGGAAAGUGGAGAUGGAAGGUCGAUAAGGAUGAUUCACG